UAACACUUUAGAAAUGUAAAAAUUGCUAUACAAAUGCAAGGUCUUAUUACUCUACUAGGUUGCAGGAUUCAAACAGGCCAGGAGAGUGCAUCUCAAUUGGAAUAAUUUCUGUGAUAACAGCCUUGGGCCAUCUUUGGAAAGAAGGUACCCCGCAAGCUCUGUCCAUUUCCUUGAAUAAGAACUCUUACAAAAUGCAUGAAAGGCAGGCACCAUUAAGCCAUUUGAACUGCAUUUCUCAUUUUUCAGAUACAUCAAUCCAGGAGCCAAAGCCCGGCUUUAGAGAUUUAAAGCUGUUAAAUAGCAUGUAGACCAUCCCUCUCGUUUUAUGGAUGCAGAAACUGAGACCUAUAGCAACUUCAGUGAAGGUCAAAGCUGUAAGAUUUGUCUUCUUACCUUAUAAAAGCAACCCUGCCUCCAUGACAGGUUUGGGCUGAGGUGAUUGUGGUAUAAUGCUCCAUUUCAGAGAGAAAGGAUUCAGCAAGCACCAACCUAAGUGCUCUGUGUGUGUGUGUGUAAUUAGAGGAGGAGAAGAGGGAGCCGGAAAAAUGUCUUAUAAACUCCCUCUCCUUGUGGGGCCCAAAUACUUGCCUGAACUGUGAUAGGGGUAUUAAUAUCUUUAUGCUGCACCUUAAAUUGUUUCAGAGUCUGCUCCCUCAGAAAACUCAACCUGUGACGGAUUCUGCUACAUGGGGUAAGUAGAAAAAAAUCUGAAUUUAAAGUCUGAAAAUUAAGAAUUCUAAUGCUGCCUGUUCCACUUACUUAUGUGACCUUAGACUAGGCAUCUCACAUCUCUGAAUGGUAGGUCUUUGUGUGUUCAUGUGUGUGUGUGUAUGUAAAAUACAGAUAAAAAUUCUUUCCUCACAGUAGCAUGUAAGAAAUUAAGUGUCAUAUAAGAAUGGUGGUAAAAGUCCUACAAAUAUAGCAGGAUAAUUUGUAAACCCCAAAGCAUAACAAUGAUGAUUAUUAAUGAACUCUCAUGGUGUAUUUGUUCUUUGAGCAAGACUUCUGUGGAUUACUCUUCCUAUAUUAAUACAUAAACAGUUUACUCUCUUGAAUACUCUAGAAAAAACUUUCAAAGUACUUCUUAACUAGUCAUGAGCUUGGCAAGUAUAGGAUUUGCAUUUUUAUCCAAAUAAUGGUAAAAAAUGAUGGCUUGAACUUUAUCAUAAUCACCCAUAUUUGUAUUCAUGUAGUGCAACUUUAUACUCUUUCAUCUCAAAAUUGAGAUUUCUGUGAAAGAGAGAUGAAUACGGAGAGCUUCUGUUGGAUAUUUAGUUUGAAUUGUAUGUUUUUUUUUCCAUUUUCUUCCAGAUAAAAGUUUUAAUGUUUCACAUAUUGAAGGUUCUAUAAAGAAGGAAAUAAGACAAAAUUUUAAAAAUGGGGUAAACAUGAAUUUUAUAGUCCUAGGAGGGAAUCGGGAGUCAAAAAAUUCAAUUCUAGUGCAGAAUACUAGAUAUUUACAGCUUAUUUCAGGGAGCCUAUGGUUGUGUCCACAGAUUGUACAUAAAAAGAAAUCUACCAAUUAACUAGAGUCCCAAACCUCAAAUAUUCCUUUAUGUUGAUUGAUUAAUUCAUUCAUUAAUCCACUCAUCAAUGAUAAAUUAAUAUAGUGCAAUAUACAAAGCACACGGCUCCUGAAAGCAGCCUGUAUUUCAUCUUUGUUCACUGUUAAAUCUCCCAAAGUCUGGUACAGUGGUUGGCACAGGGUCCGUGCUCAAAACUACUGGUUGAAUUGGUGCACGAAUUUCAUGGAUGCAUAAAAUGAAAGCCAAAAUGGAUCAGACAGAGCAUAGAUCUUUUUCUCCUAAUAACUCCAGUGUGUCUCCUUCAGUCAGACUGUAAGUAUUUCUGGGUCAAGAUUUUCACUAUUCUUUAUCUAGCUGAGUUCAUAAAACUCUAUAUUUUUCUCUUUCUUUUAACUAAUUGGAAAUGCACAUUCAGGAAAGUGCACAGAUCAUAAGUAAACAGCAUCAUGAAUUUGUAGAAAAGAAAUAAAGAAAUCGAAUAGACUUGUGGCUGCCA
rnacentral:lncRNA from 1 species